rnacentral:rRNA from 1 species
UGGGGAAUCUUGCACAAUGGGCGAAAGCCUGAUGCAGCAACGCCGCGUGCGGGAAGACAGCCCUAGGGUUGUAAACCGCUUUCAGCAGGGAAGAAACUGACGGUACCUGCAGAAGAAGAUGCGGCCAACUACGUGCCAGCAGCCGCGGUGACACGUAGGCAUCAAGCGUUAUCCGGAUUUAUUGGGCGUAAAGAGCUCGUAGGCGGUUCGGUAAGUCGGGUGUGAAAACUCUGGGCUCAACCCAGAGAGGCCACUCGAUACUGCUGUGACUAGAGUGCGGUAGGGGAGCGGGGAAUUCCUGGUGUAGCGGUGAAAUGCGCAGAUAUCAGGAGGAACACCAGUGGCGAAGGCGCCGCUCUGGGCCGUAACUGACGCUGAGGAGCGAAAAGCAUGGGUAGCAAACAGGAUUAGAUACCCUGGUAGUCCAUGCCGUAAAACGUUGGGCACUAGGUGUGGGUCUCAAACCAACGAGAUCCGCGCCGUCGCUAACGCAUUAAGUGCCCGCCUGGGAGUACGGUCGC